ensembl:lncRNA
UCUAUACUUGGAAGUUGCCUCUCUUGGAGUGUUCAGUGAGCCUUCAUCCUCUGAAAGUGAAUAAGAAUUUUCCUACAUUAAUGCUCAUCCCUAGCAAGACUUGCCUGUGCUUCCAUCAGCUCUGGAGCGUCUUGAAUGGCAACUGAUUUCUAUGGGGUGCAAGAAGGUGUCUGUGUGAGAAAGUUGGGCUGAGGUCACUGCUGGAGCUGGGUAGCGUGAAGCAUUUCAUGGAGUUAAUCCUGCAAAUGCCUGGGUGAAAUAAAGCUGAUGCUGAAACUCUUUGUAUUGGUGCAGAUGGACUAGAAGUGUCCUGAUCCCCUUCAGGCAUUGUGUCAGAGUGAAGUCUGGGGUCUCAUGGCAGUGAUAUGAAGCAUCCAUAAAACCUCAGUAUCCAUCCGAUCCUAAACCAAAUGGCCAAGAGAAGCUGCCCAGCCCCCUGGCUGCCUGUUGUCACAGCUCACGUGGGUCAGCUGCCUGUGUGGCAGCUGGUGCUCGGAUGUGGGCAGCCAUCUCAGCUGUGCCUGGUACAUGGGCUGCAGGCAGCUCUAUGGACCCGGCUCACCUGACAGAAUCUGAGAGCACUGGGAGCCUCCCCAUGCCCAGGGUGAACAUCACUUCUGGUUCUCCCAGUCUGCAGGGCUUGGAUGUGAUCUGCUCUUUCCAGAGGCACGGUGGUGCUGCUCCUGUCCCCUGUCUGCCUGCCUUCCUGCAGCAGUGGGAACCUCCAGAAGGAGGAGUGGUGCCUGCAAACCUGCUGUUCUUUGUUCUGCUCUUUCCGUGCUGAACACAGCGCUUUGCUCGGUGCCUGGCUGAUGAUGGCUUCAGGAUGAAACUCUGGGGUCUGGUGCUGGUGGGAGCAGUGAAAAAGGAAGCAUUUGUACAAACUGCAUGGAAAAAGUCAGCCUAUGACAUCUUCCAUACCCAUUUCAUAUCCCUCGGUGUUCGUUAAGGAGAGAUGCAAGCCCAGGACAGCUCUGGCAGAAGCAAAGCCUUGUGCUGAUGUUCAUCGAUCGCUGGGGAGUGCGGCUCAUGGAGGCUUCAUGAGACACAGUCCUGCCUGGGAAUGAGCAGAAAAGUGGCACUCAAAGGAGAUCAAUACUGAAGCAAGAAACUUUCUGAACUCUCUGGGAAAGCAGCUUGACAGCUGUAACGUGGAUCUGUGAUCAUCCUUCAUUUUGGUAAAUCAGCAGUGGGUAUGGAAGAAGUGGAAGUGCCAAGUGAGGGCAGAGCUGGGGCACCCUGACUUCCAGGCUCAGAUAGGGAUGAAGCGCUCUCCAUUUCACUUAUCUUUCAUGUAUGACUUAUCUCUUUUUUCUUUUAGUGGUGCUUUAAAACACUGUGUUGAAAAUAUACUCUUUGGAGU